UGGGAGCAUAUAUAUGUAUGCAUGUGCAUGUAUGUGUGUUGAUAUAGAGAUCAGGUGUCAGAUGUCCUGCAAGCGU
rnacentral:miRNA from 1 species